UUUUUUUUUUUUUUGGUUCAUUAAAAAGCAAGAAAAGGUUAUGGGGGGAAGGUUUAGAUCUGAUGCUGCUUAGAGGUGAAUGACUCAAAUGUUAUCCAGAGGGCUGUGGUUUUAUCUUUAGUGACAAUUCCUUGUGAAUGCAUGUGAUGACCACCCAGCAGGAUUUCCACUUGGCUUCUGUCUCUUUUCCACCAUGGCAGCCAAACUACCCAUUGCCUCCCUGUUCUGGGCCUUCCCUUGCUUGCUGUGAUUUCAGCCAUACAUACACUGGUCACAAAGCCAAGGGUUUCCUAGAUUUCUUAACACCAUCUUUUAGGAGCCAGAUCAAGUUCUAUUUUGUAAUAAUCCACAUCGAACCACUCAUGUAAGUGAUAGUUACAGAGGUGAUACACACCCAAGUCUGAACCAACAACAUGUUAGUUUCGAAGGAAUACAGAUAAGUUGGAAAUCCACAGGCUUGUUUCACUGAUACCAUCCCUACUUUAUUUUUAGAGAAUUUCUUCUCAAUGAUUUCUGUUGUUUUUUAAAUUGUUUUGUUUUGGUGGCUAUUUGUUUACUAGAGUUUUCAAAUCUGCUAAUUUGUCUGCAAGAUGAAGGAAGUGUUUAAUUCAAAAUCAAAGUCACAGGGCACCUGCGCAGCUCUGUUGGUUAAACAUCUUAUUCUUGAUCUCAGCUCAGGUCUUGAUCUCAGGGUGGUGAGUUCAAGCCCCGUGUUGGACUCCAUGCUGGACAUGGAGUCUACUUACAAAACAUUUUUAAAAAGGUAAAAAUGAAAUCAAAGUGCUAUAAAUAGAAGAAGAAAAAACAAACUGGCAUUUUUGUUGGCACCCCACCUUACAUGUUUUCAAGAUAUUUUAAUGCAUGUUUUCCAUAAACAUAAAAAGAACAAAAUGUUUUAAAAAAUGCUUUGUGGGUCCCGAAUACCUUUUCUUUCAUUUUUCUGGCAAAACUCUAUACAGACAUAGAAAUAAUACUUUUGUUAAUUCCAACCUUGUUUUACAAUUUUUUUCACUGAGCAUCAAAUGAAGGCAAUGAAUAUUAUGAAUGCUUGCCGUUGAGGCAAAAAUCAAACAUUACGGUUUCUUCAAAGUAGGCAAGCUUUUGAAUAAAAGAUGUCAAAAUCAAAUAAUAAUGGCAGUUGCAUUAUGAACAAAGUAAUGUAUUUGCAGGGUUGAUUCAGCAGCCCCCAAGAGGUAUCACUAGACAAAGCUUUGUCCGUUUUUCUGCUGUGCCGUCUGUAUUAUGUAACUGUUGGUCUUAUGGUCACAUGAUGGCUGCUGCACUUCCAGGCAUCACAUCUGCAUUCCAAGUAGUAAAAAGGGGGCAAAAGAGCAAAGGGUGAAGAACUAAGGGAAACCUACUGAGUCUGAACCUCUUAGUAAGCUUAAUAAGCUGAAGAAUCAAACCAGUAUUUCUUAAAUGCUUGUUUUUGAUUAUAUUUUACACCUUGUUUUAUAGAUUGGUUAUUUUGACUAGACUUGUAAAGAAAUAUGGGAAUAUGAGAAGAGGAGAAAAGGAAAGAGGAGGAGUGAAACCAAGAAGGUGCAUGGCCAUAUUGGUGACGGAAUGGAAAUGUGUAUGCAUGCGUGUUGUCAACUUAACUGGAUCAUAGAGUCCCCAGAUAUUUGGCUGAACAUUAUUUCUGGGUGCAUCUGUGAGGGUGUUGCCGGAUGAGAUUAGCCUUUGACACAGGACACUGAGUAAAGCAAAUGACCCUUCCCAAUGUGGGUAGGCUUCACUCAAUCUGUUGAUGGUCUGAAUCGAACAAGAGUGGAGGACAGGAGAAUUUGCCUUUUUGUUGGCCUGGUUGAGCUGGGACAUGGGUCUUCACCUGCUCUCAGACUGCAAAUGAUACCUUUGGCUCUCCUGGUUCUCAGGUCUCUAGACUUGUGCUGAAUUAGACCACCAGAUGUCCUGGGUGCCCGGCCUGCAGGAGGCAGAUCAUGGGUUUCCUCAGCCUGAAUAAUCAUGAAUGCAUUCUUGCUAGUAAAUUUUUCUUAUAUGUAUGUAUCCAGGAGGUCUGGAAACCUAGGGGGUCGAUAAUGUAUCAGGAGAUCUGGAACCUAGAGGGUCGACAUGUACCCAGGAGAUCUGGAAACCUAGAGGGUCGACAUGUACCCAGGAGAUCUGGAAACCUAAAAGGUCGACAUGUAUCCAGGAGAUCUGGAAACCUAGAGGAGGGUCAACAUGUAUCCAGGAGAUCUGGAAAACUAGAGGGUCGAUAAUGUACCCAGGAUAUCGGGAAACCUAGAGGGUUGACAUGUAUCCAGGAGACACAAAAGCAAAGUAGACAAUGGAGGAUAUAUAUAAAGGAUGCAUAUAAAUAUGAAGAACAGUAUAUGUAGGAAGGAUACAUAUGUAGCUAUAAAGGAUACAUAUGAAUAUACAUGUAUAUACAGGAGAUGUAUGUAUAGAUACAUACUUCUAUGUCCUAUUGGUCCUGUUUCUCGGGCAGAUAUCCCGGCAGGAUCUAGCAGUGUUUGUGGUUGUACAGGAAGCCUGGGAGAAGCGUCCGUUUGGUGAUUUGGAGGCACGAGUAUAGAGGCGGACACAGCAGAGCUUUGGUUUCACGUUACCGUGGGCUGGAAUUCUCGCACUGUCGGCCUCUUGCUGGAGACCUAAGCUAGAAAAGUCUUUAAGGCAAAUCCAGUGUCUCCUUUUUGGGUAAAAUGACAGUAAUGAUCACCACCCCCGAAAUGAGGAAUGUCACAUAAAAUCACACAUUAAAAGCUAAGGCCGUCAUCAUUUCACAAAGGGAUGAGAUUGUGGACAAAGUAUCAGAGUCAGAGUUAUCCAGGGGAGGAGAUCUUGAAUGUUUUCCAUUGGAAGAGGCCCAUUUAGUUAAACCCUUGAUUGACGGUCUCUUUGGCUGUGAGGUAGGACUAGCAAAAUGUACAGGAGACGGUCGGUCUGUGCCCUCAGGGGUCUUGAAAGGUGUUCAGUGGGGAAGACUGGAAGGCGCGUGGACAAGAGGAUGGGAGACAGGAUCUCAUCAGGGGUCAGAUGUGUGGUCCAGAUCAUUAUAAUUUCUUAUACUUACGUAUGAGACCAUCCGUCUGGUCCCAUGCCUUCUGAUCCCAUGUCUCCACUCCAUUUCUAUUUCUGUCCGUUCUCUAAAGCUCACACAUGUGUGACCCAGGUCACAGAAGCAUCUGAUCGGGGUACACCAAGGUGGAAGAAGGACACAUGUUCAUUAAGCGAUUCAAAAGAACUUACGCCUGAGUUUUUCUGCAACCGUGAAACAGACUAUAUCUCACUGAGGAGACCUCCAUGCUCAUGACUUUAAAUUGCCAAAAAAUGGCAGCAAAAGUGUGUAAUUAUUCUGGGUUUUUUUCCCUACCCUCUAAUGACUGAAGACAAAGCAUGUAUUUAUGAGUUGGACACGUGUAGGCAGAUUUUUAGAAAAACGUCUAUGGGAAAAUGAGGAGCCAUUGAAACAAGCCCUUCAGAGCAGACCAUUAGGAACGGCACUCGAGAAACAUAAAGGCUGAUUCUUGGUGGUGCCCGAAAGUAGUCGAAGGACGUUCAUGUCCACGAAACGUCUGUGAACAAAGCCCUGCUGGGAGCUUACUCACGGAAGAGGUCGGCGUUACACAGUAAUGGGACUCAGGAAAUGAGCUUCUGCGUGUGGAGUUGUACGUUUGCAGUCUUUGAGCGUAUGAUUACAUUUUAUUACAACGAGGGGAAAAAAUCAGAGGUAAAGUGUGAACAAGUUGAGGGAGGCUGUUUGCCUCUUCGCAUCCAGGUGAGAUCCCAGCGGAGAACCAAGGCCUGCUCCCUGUAGGCAUUCAACUGUGUGGACCUGUGAGCAUCCUUAUAACGUGGGCGUGACAUGGACACACCUGCGUGGUGUCUCCGAAAACCAGUCUUGCUCCAGGGCGGCAAGAGGGCACGCAUUCCCAGGGGUUCCUGCCCCCCUUUUGUCAGGACUUGGUAGGCCUUGUGGAUGUGAAAGGUAGUACGCGCGUUAAAUCUACAUCGUCUGUAAUUAGGAGACUUGUGCUUAUUGAAAUGGUGACCAGUGUUCCUUCUGGAUCAUGGCAGGUGACUUCAACAGAUUCCAAGAUGCACCAAAACACACGGGAGUGUGCUCAAAAUAAAACCUGCACGACGCUCACGGGGCUGCAGGGACACAAUUGAGCGUCUCUGUCAAAACACGGCAUUCUCCGCCUACCAUGUCCCAAAAAGGAAAUGAGGCAUUUCCCUGUGCGAACCCAUUUUAUCACCAUCUGGGGUUUUAGGGCCGCAGCUCUGUAUGCGGGUGAGAGGUUAAUCAGUAAAGCAGGUAGACGGAAGGCACUUGUCCCUCUUUCUUUUCAGCCUGCUUUGGUGUACUUACCCUACACUGUCCUGUGCUCUGGGUGUAUUGUUAUUUUUGUCCUUAUUUACAGCUACACUUGACCCUUGAACAAAGUGGGCAUUAGGGGCAUGGAUCCCCCCAACAAUCAGAGCUCCGCAUGUAACUUUAGACACCCCCCAAAAAAACUUGACACUAAUAGCCUACUGUUAACGAGAAACCUUACUGAAACUAUGUAUUAGACGCCGUAUGUAUUCUUACAGUAAAGUGAGCCAGACAACGCACAGUGUGAUUAAAUUAUAUGAAAAAUGCCUUUACAGGACCAGACUGUAUUGUUGAAACAAAUCUGCAUGUAAGCGGACCCACCCAGUUCAAGCCCGUGUUGGUCAAGGGUCAAUUAUCCACACACGACGCCGGAGGGAAAAUGUCGGAAAAUAUUUUAAACCCCUUCAGCUGUAUAACCUCUCUGUAUUAUUUGGAUAUCAGUGUCAGGAUAUAAAACUAAUGCCGUGAGGAAUAUAGUGAGGCUGCCAGGUGACAGAAUUUGCAAUGAGGCUCAACCAUUGCUUUUUGAAAUAUUUUUUCUUUAGGGACGCCUGGUGGCUCAGUGAUUGAGCGUCUGCCAUCUGCUCAGGGUGUGAUCCGGGGUCCUGGGAUCGAGUCCCGCAUCAGGAUCCCCGCAGAGAGGCUGCUUCUCCCUCUGCCUGUGUCUCUGCCUCUCUCUCUCUCUGUCUCAUGAAUAAAUAAGUAAAAUCUUAAAAAAAAAAAAA
rnacentral:lncRNA from 1 species